CUACGGGCUGCUGCAGUGGAGAAUAUUGCACAAUGGAGGAAACUCUGAUGCAGCAACGCCGCGUGGAGGAUGACACUUUUCGGAGCGUAAACUCCUUUUAUAUAGGAAGAAGAUGACGGUACUAUAUGAAUAAGCGCCGGCUAACUCCGUGUCCAGCAGCCGCGGUAAUACGGAGGGCGCAAGCGUUACUCGGAAUCACUGGGCGUAAAGAGCGUGUAGGCGGAUUAAAAAGUCAGAAGUGAAAUCCUAUAGCUUAACUAUAGAACUGCUUCUGAAACUCUUAAUCUAGAAUAUGGGAGAGGUAGAUGGAAUUUCUGGUGUAGGGGUAAAAUCCGUAGAGAUCAGAAGGAAUACCGAUUGCGAAGGCGAUCUACUAGAACAUUAUUGACGCUGAUACGCGAAAGCGUGGGGAGCAAACAGGAUUAGAUACCCCGGUAGUC
rnacentral:rRNA from 1 species